rnacentral:rRNA from 1 species
UACGUAGGUGGCUAGCGUUGUCCGGAUUUACUGGGCGUAAAGAGCGCGCAGGCGGUCGUUCAAGUCGAGUGUGAAAGCCCCCGGCUCAACUGGGGAGGGUCACUCGAUACUGAUCGACUCGAAGGCAGGAGAGGGAAGCGGAAUUCCCGGUGUAGUGGUGAAAUGCGUAGAUAUCGGGAGGAACACCAGUGGCGAAGGCGGCUUUCUGGCCUGCUCUUGACGCUGAGGCGCGAAAGCUAGGGUAGCAAACGGG